rnacentral:rRNA from 1 species
AUUGAACGCUGGCGGCAGGCCUAACACAUGCAAGUCGAACGAGUGGCGGACGGGUGAGUAAUGUCUGGGAAACUGCCUGAUGGAGGGGGAUAACUACUGGAAACGGUAGCUAAUACCGCAUACCAUCGGAUGUGCCCAGAUGGGAUUAGCUAGUAGGUGGGGUAAAGGUUCACCUAGGCGACGAUCCCUAGAUGGUCUUAGAGGAUGACCAGCCACCCUGGAACUGAGACACAGUCCAGACCCCUACGGGAGGCAGGAGUGGGGAAUAUUGAACAAUGGGCGCAAGCCUGAAGCAGCCAUGCCGCGUGUAUGAAGAAGGCCUUAGGUUUGUAAAGUACUUUCAGCGGGGAGGCGUUACCCGCAGAAGAAGCACCGGCUAACUCCGUGCCAGCCGCCGCGAAAUUC